AUUGAACGCUGGCGGCAGGCCUAACACAUGCAAGUCGAGCGAGCGGCGGACGGGUGAGUAAUGUAUGGGGACUGCCCGAUAGAGGGGGAUAACUACUGGAAACGGUAGCUAAUACCGCAUACUAUCGGAUAACCCAUAUGGGAUUAGCUAGUCGGUGAGGUAAUGGCUCACCUAGGCGACGAGCCCUAGCUGGUCUGAGAGGAGGAUCAGCCACACUGGGACUGAGAAACGGCCCAGACGCGUACGGAUGCAGCAGUGGGGAAUAUUGGGCAAUGGACGCAAGCCUGAUGCAGCCAUGCCGCGUGUAUGAAGAAGGCCCUAGGGUUGUAAAGUCCUUUCAGUCGGGAGGCGUUACCGACAGAGGAAGCACCGGCUAACUCCGUGCCAGCAGCCGCGGUAAUUC
rnacentral:rRNA from 1 species